GAUGAAGAACGUAGCGAAAUGCGACAAGUAGUGUGAAUUGCAGAAUUCAGUGAAUCAUCGAAUCUUUGAACGCACAUUGCGCCCCUUGGUAUUCCAUGGGGCAUGCCUGUUCGAGCGUCAUUUGUACCUUCAAGCUCUGCUUGGUGUUGGGUGUUUGUCUCGCCUCUGCGUGUAGACUCGCCUCAAAACAAUUGGCAGCCGGCGUAUUGAUUUCGGAGCGCAGUACAUCUCGCGCUUUGCACUCAUAACGACGACGUCCAAAAGUACAUUUUUACACUCUUGACCUCGGAUCAGGUAGGGAUACCCGCUGAACUUAAGCAUAUCAAUAAGCGGAGGA
rnacentral:misc_RNA from 1 species